CCCUUAGAUGUUCUGGGCCGCACGCGUGCUACACUGAGUGGAUCAGCGGGUCAGGUUGCGCGAAAGUGUUUCCUAAUCUUGAAAUCCGCUCGUGAUGGGGAUUGACGGUUGCAAUUUUCCGUCAUGAACGAGGAAUACCUUGUAAGCGCGGGUCAUCAUCCCGCGCUGAAUACGUCCCUGCCCUUUGUACACACCGCCCGUCGCUCCUACCGAUUGAAUGUUUCGGUGAAGAUUCCGGAUAGGACUUUUUUGAUUUAUUUCAAUUUUGUCUUAAAAGCUAUCUAAACCUCAACAUUUAGAGGAAGGUGAAGUCGUAACA
rnacentral:rRNA from 1 species